rnacentral:rRNA from 1 species
UACGUAGGGGGCUAGCGUUGUCCGGAAUCAUUGGGCGUAAAGCGCGCGUAGGCGGCCCGGUAAGUCCGUUGUGAAAGUCAAAGGCUCAACCUUUGAAUGCCGAUGGAUACUGCCGGGCUAGAGUCCGGAAGAGGCGAGUGGAAUUCCUGGUGUAGCGGUGGAAUGCGCAGAUAUCAGGAGGAACACCGAUAGCGAAGGCAGCUCGCUGGGACGGUACUGACGCUGAGACGCGAAAGCGUGGGGAGCAAACAGG